rnacentral:lncRNA from 1 species
AUGGAGUUCAAGAACAUGCUGAAGAACGCCUCGCGCAAGCCCUCGGACGACGGCAAGCACUUCGGGGCGGCCGGCCGGGACGGGGGCGGGGGGCCCGGCCCCGCCGAAGCCCCGGGGGGCCCGGCGCCGGCCGAGGAGCGCUACCGCAUCGAAGACGCGGGUUCUCCUCGGCGGCCCCGGCGGCCCCUGCGGACCGCCCGACGGGGCCCGGGAGAAGGGGGCGCCCAUCGAGACCCUGGGCUACCGCAACGCGGCCAGCCGCCGGAUGUCGGGGGGCGAGCCCAUCCAGACGGUGGAGUCCAUCCGCGUGCUGGGCAAGGGGGCCCGCGGCCCGGGCGGCGACGGGCCCGCGGGAGCGGCUGGUUCGAGCUGAGCGGGCCGGCGGCGCCUUCGACGACGGGCCCCCGGCUGCCGCCGCCGGAGCCCCCGGCCCUGGGCGGCGGGGGCGGGUUCAAGGCGCCGCCCUACAAGGAGCGGGGGCCGCCCCCCUUCGCCGACGGCGUUCAACAGCUUCCGCGCCAACAGCUUCGCCGCCGCCUUCGACCGCCACCUGCCGCCGCCCCCCUGGCGGAGCCCCCCAAGGAGCACGGGGGGCUCUUCGCCCGCGACCGCCCGGCCCCCGCCGAGGCCCCGGCCACGGGGCCCCGCCGCCGCCCCGCCCGGGCCGAGCGCGGGCCCGCCGGCGGGGUGCCCUUCCCCGGCCCGCCCCCGCCCCGCCGGGCGCCGAGCGCGGGCCCGCCGGCGGGGUGCCCUUCCCCGGCCCGCCCCCGCCGCCCCCGGGGACCGCGGCGGGGUCGGGGUCCCCUUCCCCGCCCCGCCCCUGGGCGACCUGGCGGGGGCCGGGGCCGCGGGCCUCGCGCUCUUCUCCAAGGAGCACGCCGCCCUCCUGCCCGGGGCCCCGAAGGAGCGCUUCGGGGUGCUGCCCGCCCCGCCCCGGGACCUCGGGGCCCCCGGCCCGCGCGACCUCAACGGGCCCGCCCUCGGCCGCGCCCGCGACGGCCUGGGCCUCCCCGCCCACCCGCGGGACCCGCUGGCCCGGCGCGCGGGGCGGGGGGCGGGGGCCGGGGCCGCGGCGGGAGCCCCGCCCCGCACAGGGACGCCCGUCGGCGGGGGCGGGGCGGCGGGCCGGUCCUGAGGAGCCGCGCCCGGACUUCAGGCCCAGGGGACCCUUUCCUCAGCCGGGACCCCUUCCACAGCCUCAAGCGGCCCCGGCCGCCCUUCGCCCGCGCCCCGCCCCCUUUCUUCGCGCCCAAGCGCCCCUUCUUCCCGCCCAGGUACUGA